GCUUUCGGUUCAGUGGUAGAAUGCUCGCCUGCCACGCGGGGGGCCCGAGUUCGAUUCCCGUCCGAUGCA
rnacentral:tRNA from 1 species